rnacentral:tRNA from 1 species
AGGGAAAUAGCUCAGUGGUAGAGCGCGUGCUUAGCAUGCACGAGGUCCUGGAUUCAAUCCCAGUACCCCCA